UACGUAGGGUGCGAGCGUUGUCCGGAAUUAUUGGGCGUAAAGGGCUCGUAGGCGGUUUGUCGCGUCGGGAGUGAAAACACACAGCUUAGCUGUGUGCUUGCUUCCGAUACGGGCAGACUAGAGGUAUGCAGGGGAGAACGGAAUUCCUGGUGUAGCGGUGAAAUGCGCAGAUAUCAGGAGGAACACCGGUGGCGAAGGCGGUUCUCUGGGCAUUACCUGACGCUGAGGAGCGAAAGUGUGGGGAGCGAACAGG
rnacentral:rRNA from 1 species